rnacentral:rRNA from 1 species
CAGUCGCCGCGGUAAUACGAAGGGGGCUAGCGUUGUUCGGAAUUACUGGGCGUAAAGGGCGCGUAGGCGGCCAUUCAAGUUAGAUGUGAAAGCCCUGGGCUCAACCUAGGAAUUGCAUUUGAUACUGUUUGGCUUGAGUUCGGGAGAGGUGAGUGGAAUUCCCAGUGUAGAGGUGAAGUUCGUAGAUAUUGGGAAGAACACCAGUGGCGAAGGCGGCUCACUGGACCGACACUGACGCUGAGGCGCGAAAGCGUGGGGAGCAAACAGGAUUAGAUACCCCCGUAGUCCCUGUCUCUUAUAC